ACACCACCACCGCCACCGAUGAGCACAGCUCAAGCAACACCACCACCACCACCGCCGAUGAGCGCAGCUCAAGCGACACCACCACCGCCGCCGAUGAGCGCAGCUCAAGCGGAAACCCUCGCAACCACAGAAUGGACCGAAGUUGUAA